AUUUGAGAUGAUGAUGGAAAUUGUUUUCCCUAUUGGUUUGAUUGCCGAUAUGAUGGCGAAAAUGUAUUAGCUCUAUCUGAUCCUUU